rnacentral:rRNA from 1 species
CACGUAGGGUGCGAGCGUUGUCCGGAAUUAUUGGGCGUAAAGAGCUCGUAGGCGGUGUGUCGCGUCGGCCGUGAAAACCUGGGGCUUAACUCUGGGCUUGCGGUCGAUACGGGCAUCACUGGAGUUCGGCAGGGGAGACUGGAAUUCCUGGUGUAGCGGUGAAAUGCGCAGAUAUCAGGAGGAACACCGGUGGCGAAGGCGGGUCUCUGGGCCGAUACUGACGCUGAGGCGCGAAAGCCAGGGGAGCGAACGGG